CGGCGGACGGGUGAGUAACACGUGGGUAACCUACCUAUAAGACUGGGAUAACUUCGGGAGACCGGAGCUAAUACCGGAUAAUAUUUCGAACCGCAUGGUUCGAUAGUGAAAGGUGGUUUUGCUAUCACUUAUAGAUGGACCCGCGCCGUAUUAGCUAGUUGGUAAGGUAACGGCUUACCAAGGCGACGAUACGCAGCCGACCUGAGAGGGUGAUCGGCCACACUGGAACUGAGACACGGUCCAGACUCCUACGGGAGGCAGCAGAU
rnacentral:rRNA from 1 species